rnacentral:rRNA from 1 species
UACGUAGGGGGCUAGGCGUUGUCCGGAAUCAUUGGGCGUAAAGCGCGUGUAGGCGGCCCGGUAAGUCCGCUGUGAAAGUCGGGGGCUCAACCUCGGAUGCCGGUGGAUACUGUCGGGCUCGAGUACGGAAGAGGCGAGUGGAAUUCCUGGUGAGCGGUGAAAUGCGCAGAUAGUCAGGAGGAACACCAAUUGCGAAGGCAGCUCGCUGGGACGUAAGCUGGACGCCUGGACGAACGCGGAA